AUUGAACGCUGGCGGCAUGCUUUACACAUGCAAGUCGAACGGCAGCAUGGGCUUCGGCCUGAUGGCGAGUGGCGAACGGGUGAGUAAUAUAUCGGAACGUACCCAAGAGUGGGGAUAACGUAGCGAAAGUUACGCUAAUACCGCAUACGAUCCAAGGAUGAAAGUGGGGGACCUUCGGGCCUCAUGCUCCUGGAGCGGCCGAUAUCUGAUUAGCUAGUUGGUAGGGUAAAGGCCUACCAAGGCAUCGAUCAGUAGCUGGUCUGAGAGGACGACCAGCCACACUGGAACUGAGACACGGUCCAGACUCCUACGGGAGGCAGCAGUGGGGAAUUUUGGACAAUGGGGGCAACCCUGAUCCAGCAAUGCCGCGUGAGUGAAGAAGGCCUUCGGGUUGUAAGGCUCUUUUGUCAGGGAAGAAACGGUUGUGGCUAAUAUCCAUGGCUAAUGACGGUACCUGAAGAAUAAGCACCGGCUAACUACGUGCCAGCCGCCGCGGUAAUAC
rnacentral:rRNA from 1 species